AUAUGCAUUUUUUUCUUCAGAUUUAUUUUGUGGUGGUGAUAGUGGGUUUUUUUUACUUCUAACAUCUGGAAAUAUAAUUAGUUUUGCCAUGGAUUUAUAUUAUUUGAUGAUGGGGGAGGAUUUUCCUUUUGGAUGUUAAACUCAGUUUUAUUUCCUUUAACUAGGAUCACAAGGAUUAAAAAAAAAAAAAAAAAAAUUCCAUCAAUUUUAACCCGUAUCCUUCCGUUGACGUGUAAUGUAUCAUUAAAUCUGAAAAUAAAACUAUUUUAUUUGUUGUAGAUGUUGUUUUUUUAACAUUGAAAAAGUUUACAGCAUAAUGUUUGAUUAAAUUUCAAAAUCCAGUUAUUACAAGGUAAAAAAACUAAACAAAAAAGCAACUACAACAGAAAAAUAAAAUGAUAUGGUAAAAUAUACAUGUACAUACAUGUUUUUCAAUCUGUUAAUUUAUGCUUCAUCCCUUUCUCCAGUGAUGUACAUAUACAUUGUUUUUCAUUUUUUUUUGUUUAAUCUCUGUUCUAUAAUGAUGUAUACACACUUUUUUUUAAUCCAUAUCCUUUUUGUUUAAUCUGUACCUUUGUAAACAGUACAUUUUAUGCAGCAACAAACAUGUAUGUUGUCAACUAGUUGAUAUUCUUUGCAUUUUAUUAUGAAUCUAGGUAUGUCCAUUUUCCCAGUAUUAUUGUUUUAUUAUUUUAUUUUAAUGUUUUUUUCCAGUCAUCUUUGACCUGAAAUUCUUUCCUUAUGAGGCCUCUGUACAUGAUGUAACCUCACUGUGAUGAUUUCAUGACUCUACAAUAUGGGUAAAAACAUUCUCAAACUUCAGAUGGGACCCUGAAAAGGGUCCACACCGAGGUUGCGGAUUAGUUUGAAUUUGAAAAAGUCAAAAAUUGUUACUUCUGAAUCCUGGCCGAGGUUCCUGGUCAUCAGUUUGUCUGUUGAUGGGGCCUUGAGCAAAUUGUCUUCAUUUGCUAUUCAGACGUCUUACUUGCAGAUGCUAGUUCCUAUACACAACUAGGAACUUAGGCUUUGUCUUUGUGCUUUUUGAACAUAUAUAUGCUUUAAAAUAACUAUAUAUAUAUAAUUAUAUACAUGUAUAUAUAAUUUUCUUUUAAAGAGAUUUUUAAUUUUUUUUAUUUACUUUCUUUUUUUUUGUAUAGCUGUACAUGUAUUUUUGGAGGGUUGGUUUGUUUUGUUGAGGCAGGGAGUGGGGUCUAAUCUUGUACGCAUUAAUGCACAACUAGGGAAACGUGUUCAUUUAAAAAAAAACCUUUUUAAUAAAUUAUUGCGUAUUGUUAAUGAGGUUGUACAAGCAAUCAGUUAUAAUUAAAUUUCUGUUACAUUCAUUACAACGUAACGUCAUCCCAUUGGUCCAGACGUAGCAAAGGGAGUUUGUUCAUUUUUCGAUGAAUGUAAAAAUUACGUCGUCAGGGAAUGUCAUCUGAUGACGUCAUUUUAUAUGGGGCAAGUUGUGUUAUUGAGUGUUGCUGUUGAUGGAUAAAAAAUAAUUCAAUUAAAGUAUGAUGUUUUAGUGUUGUUAUUAGCCUGUAUGAUUCAAAUUUAAUUAUAAGUAUUGUUUGUUAUUUAUUUUACAUUCAUCUGGGUAUGAAAUAAAAAAAAAUCGUCCACAAACUGGUGAGAACGGCUUCAUUGAUUCACAAAAUUUGCGGAUGAUUUUUUUUGUUCAUACCCCGAUGAACGUAAAAGAAAUAACAGACGAUCUUCAAAUAUUUUUUAUUACCUUCAUAUACAUGGACAUAAAUGUGGCAAAUUAGUAACUUUAGACAUUCUCCCUUUUCUGGAGGUGUCACGAUUGACCUACAUGUAGUUCAUGAUAUGGUAUGUAUCACAAUACAUACUCAUGAUACAAUACAUACUAUGAUUCAUGAUUCAUGCUGUUUCUCUGUAAAACUAGAUGAAAUGAUUUUUGUUUUAACUGUUUGAUAAUUAACUGUAUAAUUUUUAUAUUGAUUCUUUAACAUUUAUUUUUCAUGUAUUUGUUUUAACACCCAUUUUUAUUUGUGCUGGGAUGCAAUGAAUUAUCCUCACAUCCAUAGAUCAUCUGUUUUUGUGGUUUUUCCUUGUAGGAACGUCAACCAAAUGAGUUGUGAUCUUAAUUAAGAUCAAUUAUGGAUAAUAAAUAGGAUAUUAAACUCGCUACUAUUUCAUAUAAUGUUUAUGUCCCCUGUGAAAUAAGUUUUCAUUCUCACUUGCUAAAGCUUGUGACAAUUAAAAAUUAUUUCACUCUGAACAUAAACAUGAUGCAACAUGAAAGCUCAUUUAAUAUCCUAUAAAUAUGACAAAAGUGAAACACUGAUUAAACAGGUUUAACGUAAAAAUACCACAGCAUUGACAUAUUGAGAGAAGCACUGCAUGCUUUCUGCCAGAAAAUAAGACCAAUUAAGUGCCUCUAUUCGACAUUACAUUUCAUGCACUUUGCCAUAUAUGAAACAGCAGUUCUUUUACUAUGCAUGUGUAAUCUUUCUAAAAGUUACAACAUUUAUAACCAUUUAUUUGCAAGAUUUUAGGGCACAUAACUUUACCCUCUGUACCUUCUGGCAGAAAUUCUGAGCUGCAGAUACAGUCUGUCCAUUUCAUUGUCUUUCAUGUGUUAGAAAAAUGAAAUGAGAAUCUAUAACUGGUCAAAUUUGAAUAGAUAACAAAAGCAAUGGCAUUGUGUAUUGUGUCGUUGGUAGUAAUAUCAAUGCAUUGGCCUUUCGUGACACCCUGACAAUUUUAUGCAUUUUAAUGGCAUCUAAAACUGUAUUUACUUAGAUGCACUUUUUGAAAAUAUAGUCGGUACUACCAGUAGUCUAGUGUAUAAACCAGCAGGAAAUGAAAAGCUGCCAUAUAUAACUUUCAUGUAUGAAUAUACAUUUCCAAAUAGCUUGUCAAAACUACUGGCCUUAGUUUUUAGACUGAAAACUAUUUUAGGAUUUUACCUAGUGAGCCCAUUUUAUUAUUUUUUCAAUAUUGUAUUUUUAUUUUUUAUUUUAUUUAAUGGGUAAUAGAAUGUGUAUUAAAUGUAGAUCCCAGUUUACAUGUAAAAAUUAAAGUUUUAUGGGCUGAUUUGACUGUUUGUUCAGGGCCCGUGCUUUUAAAACUUUUAUAGUCCAGGCUCGAUGUCAAAUGAUUAUCAUAUGCAUGCUAUGUGUAUGGCGUUGACAUGACGUUAGUCUCACUCAAUAGUCUUUGUGUCUUUUAUAACCUUUUAUAACAACCAGGCCUGGGGCGUCACUAAAUAUUAACUGCUUUUUUUUUCUUGCUUUUUUUAACUGUUUCAUAAUUAAUUGUAUAAUUUUUAUAUUGAUUCUUUAACAUUUAUUUUUCAUGUAUUUGUUUUAACACCCAAUAGCCACCAUUUUUAUUUGUGCUGGGAUGCAAUGAGUUAUCCUCGCAUCCAUACGUCAUCUGUUUUGGAAAUUUUACCUUUUUAACCUCAUGUAUUUUUCAUCUUAAUUUAAUUUAAUUACUGUUUAGAAAACAAUGAUUUUUUUUAGUGAGAUACCUGUAACAUUAACAGGGUUUGUACCGGUCCUGUAAAGCAUUAAAUAAUAAUGUUUCAACUGUGUGGUGCUCCUGGCAGUGUGAUACAAACAUGAGUUUCUCAAAAACUGACGCAUACAUGUGUGUGCACAUCACGAUACAACAGUGACCUGAAUUCAGUGAAUGUGUUGAGAACGUGUCAUUUUGUUUAUGUACAAAGAUUCAUAUCAAGCAAUGGAAUAUAUUAUGUGAAUGUGUGUAUAGCUGUAAAUACAUUAUGCAGUUAAAAGUAAAGAAAUUUGAACAGUAUGGACAUGAUUCAAUACUGUUUGUUUGACACCCAAUAGCUGUUGUUCAUGCUGGGGUGUCAUUAACCAAUCAAUCAUUCAGGAUUCAAGGACAAGGAUGUGGGGUGGGGGGUUUUCUGAAAUGGAUAGUUAAAUCACAAAUGUGCUGUGCUGUGACUGCUGAAAUGUCUUCUAAUAUGAUAAACGAGCUGUUCAGAUUGUGUGUUCAGUAUGGAUAUCUGAAGGUGUGCAAAUCUGCUGUCAACUGAAGCUAGCUCACUGGUCACCUACUGAGGCUGUCGGUCAUCACUAACUAUUUGUUGAUGAAGGGCAUUGAGACAUGCGGAUUUCUAUUAAAUAGGUGCCUACUCAGAAAAGCAAUAUGCAGGAAUUGACAAGCUGAUUAUACAACCUGCAAAACAGUUAUUUUGAGCCAUACAUAAAGGACAUGCCAGAGGUUUUUCAUCAACCAGUUCAGCAACUGACAGCAACAGACUGCACUACCACAUAGACAGCUAUAGCAUAGGUUGCUUUUCCAUAGAAGUGAAGUAAGAAGAAGAAUCUUGAGAUCCACAUCAUUGGAUGCACCUUCAAGCUUAAUAAGGAUAUAUUUAGGAAAGAUGAAGCAUUCACUGAAUUGUCUGUAGAACUAUACACAGUUUUCAUGAUUUCUUGACAUGAUUUCAACAGAGACAAAAUUAUGUCAAAAUUACCGUUCCAUUUAGGUGGGUGUGCAAUAAUGUGAUAUGAAGAAUUAUUGGAGCUCGUUAAGUGAUUAUUUUUUUUCCUCACCUGGACAAAGUAGGAAGGAAUGACAUGUUUUUCUUUUCCAUUGACAUUGUACUGUUUUGUAUGUUUUAUAUUUUAAGGUUUUUUCUUGGGGGGGGUGGGGGGUGUUUUGAUUUUAAUAAAAACCAAACCAUUGGCAUUUACAGGAUGGUGGGCAUGUAAAAACAGUUUUGUCUGAUACCAUCAUGUUUUUUUAAUAUUACAUUCAUCUAAAGUUAGAAGCAAAAUCCUGUCUAGGGAGUGAUCGCAAUCUCUCACCCUCUUGAACAUGCCAUAAAUUAUGUUAAGUUUAACAGUUCCAGAAAAUGUAUAUUUCUAUAAUGUAUGUUUUUUUUUCUCCUAAAUAAACCUAAUGUAAUAUUAUUUAUCCUGCAACCACCGAUUCUGUUGACAGAUUACGUUGGUGGAUAAAGCAAAGUCAUAUACAUAUAGUAGCAAGAUAUGACUUGACAUUACAAAAUCGCUCAUUUGACCUUUAGGUCAUGAUACAGUGUAGUUGAAAUAACAAAAAUAAUAGCUUUUCCCCUUAAUUUUUAUGGUCAGGGCCCCGUUCCACAAAGCGAUCUUAGCGCUAAGAUCACCUUAACUAUGUUAAAUAUGUUAGCUGUGCAGUUACGGUGAUCUUAGGUCUAAGAUCGCGUCGUGGAAUGGGGCCCUGUAGAAUAAAGAUGACCUUUAUCCUGUUCAGGCCAAAUGAGAAAUUAACUUUAUGGGAAUUUCCUAUUCUUACCUUCACAGGAUAAAGCAGAUAUUCGACACCAUAAACUAGUUAUUCUCUGUAUAUGUAGUGUUUACAAUUAUCAACAUUUUCAUGACCAUACAAACCAUAUACUUAGGGAGAGAGGGUUAUACUUAAUACUUGUAAAACAAAAUAAAAAGGUUGGUUAAAUAUAUGUAGGCCUACAAGUUUUAGAAGAUGGGGACAGAAAAAGAGAUUGUCUUGUGAAAAUGUUGCACUUAUGAAGUUUAAGGUUUGUGUAAUAACUAAUGUUCACAUGUUAAUAUACAUGUGUAGAUGUUUAUUAUUUUCAUGUGCAAACUCUGUACUAAUAUGCAUAAUUAAUUUUUUAUUUAUGGUGUGUCACAUUUUGGUGGAGUGCAGUCAUCUGAAGGAAACUAAAAAAAUAUAUUUUUGGUUGAAGAAAUGUGAUGGAAUCAUUUCGAUUUAAUCUUGAACUUUUGUUACAGUUUCUUUGUGAUACAGAUUUUUUUUCCAAAUUUUAAAUUGAAUUAUCUGUGAUAUUUGUAUUUUUGGCACAGUUAUUUACUGUGUUUUAAAUUAACUUUAUAUUCAUGUUGAUUAUGACUUCAUUUAUAAAUGCAUUUACCUUUGUUUGACCCAAUAGCUGAUAUAUUUUUCGUGCUGUGGUGUUGCUUUGUUAAACAUUCAUUAAUUAUUUUUGUCAUUGACAUCCAACAGAUAUGUUAUUAUUUGUGCUGGUGUGUUAUUCACUCAUUCUCUCAUUCAGAUUUUUGUACUGUUGAAUGUAAAUAUUUUUGUUAAAAUUAGUGUGUUUUUGAAAGGGAAAUAUACAGGGAUUUUAAACAGGUGUGUGCAAGAUGCUCAGUGCUCAAGAGUUGGAUGUUGAAUGUUUAGUAUAACACUGAGAGAGUGAAUCUGUUAAAUGGCUUGGGAGCAUGCCAUUUGAAAAUUUACACUUUUAUAUGCUCUCAGAUGAUGUCCAGCAAUCUGAAACUUUGCCGACAUUUUGUAUUAGUGGCUAAAUAAUGUCAUUCAGUUGAGUGACAGCAUUUCCCCCUUGUCUUAGCUAUGUGCAUUCACAUAUCUUGUUUAGUAAUGUUGGAAGUAGUUGUAAUUUGAUGGUAGGUAACAAGUAAAAUACUAGUUACUACAUUCAGUUUUACUAGAUAACAUUUGUAUGAAACUCGUGAAUUUGUUGUGCUAUAUGACCUCACUUUUGUUCGGUCAGAUACUAACAUUUGAAGUUCACUUGUUAAGUAAAAAUUAUAUCUAGUGAAAACUGGUAUAGUAUUUUGUAUUUAUUUACAUUUUUGAUUUUUGAAAUUUGGUUCAUAGUUGCAUCUAUGAACAUUCAUUUCAUUGCAUUUGCCUGUUUUUAAGAUUUGUUAAUUAAAUUAUUUUAUUUUUACAUUCAUAGAAAUGAACAUCUAUGAAUGCGACUGAGAGCCACACGGAAUAAGUUUAUGGUAGGCAAAACAUUUAAUUCUGCAGAAUUCUUGUUAUUUAAUGUAUUUGUGUGAGAGUGACUACAAUGCAGGCCUGUAGGAACAGUAUACAUGAAAUAGGGGAAGGAGCACAUGCUAUUAUUGGUGGGUUGGGGUGGCGAGUAGAUUUGUUUUGGUUUAUAUAUGCAGUAGGACAAAAAAGGUAAAGGUUUUGGGUCUCAAAAAACAUUUACCUCCUCCCACCUCACUUGCUAUGGGUCUGCAUUGUAGAUAAUGAGGUCAGUACUGCGUUGUUAAUUUUAGUACCACUGCACUUGAAAAUGUAUUGAACUGUACUUAGUGCCAGAUUUUUGUAAUACAUACUUGUUUAUUUUUAUAUUUCUCAUAACACUCUGAACCAAUUAUUUUUUUAUAUAAAGAAUCAUCCAGUUCAGACUACUGUGUAUGAAUGGAUAUUUUACAAUGUUUUACAACAGUUAAAGAAUUAAAGACAUUAUUAAUUGA
rnacentral:lncRNA from 1 species